GAGGCAUUGGCUGACCAAGCUUGGAGUUGUGAAACAACCAAGGAGAUGGUGAUCCAUGAUCUUUGGAUAAAAGAUCUCAUUGCACUACCAUUUGGAUUCUUCAGAAGGAUAAUAGGAUCCUUGAGGAGGCAAGGAAUGAAAGAAAAAUAUGUGAGCCCAAUCAUUGUUUUCUAUGCAAACAAAUGGGUACUCUCUAAGAAGAUAAGACAGUUCUGGGAGAAUUCAGGCAAUAGAAUUGAGGAUAUUGAUGUUAGAAAUAGAGUUUCAGUAAUUCUUCAAGGUAUUCUGGAUUUGCUGCCUGUGAGAGAAAAGGCAAGGAGAGUGAUUCCUGUAGGAUUUUACUUUGCAUUGCUUUCUAGGUCUUUUGAAGUUGGCUUGAGAAGUGAAAGCAGGGCAAAGUUGCAAGAUCAAAUCGCUUCUCAGUUACAUUUGGCCCAGGUGGAAGAUUUUCUCUUUCCAAAGAUUGGACUCGACUCAAUUUCUUCUAGCAUGGAGUUGGCUACUAUGGAGAGCAUAUUCUCCACAUAUUUGUCACUUAACAUGGGUACAAACCAUACUCUUUCAUCUAGCAACUCAAUUGUUGCUGAAUUAUGGGAUACAUAUCUCUCUCGUAUUGCUUUUGAUCCAAAAAUGGAACCUAGAAAAUUCAUGGAACUCAUUGAAACGGUACCGAUAUCUUUUAGACAGAGCCACGAUCAAUUGUACAAAGCAAUGAAUGCCUUCUUGCAGGAACACCGAGAUGUAUCACAAGAAGAAAAGGGAGCAGUCUGCAAAUACCUCAACUGCCAGAAGCUGUCACAAGAGGCAUGUAUCGAAGCAGUUCAAAAUGAGUUGAUGCCUUUACGUUUGAUUGUCCAGGCUCUAUUUGUUCAACAACGGAAUACACACCAAGCUUUCAAAGAAUGCUCAGACUCAUUUAGGUAUGCACAAUGUGGUGACUUCUCUGGAAGCCUUUCAAGCUCAAAAUGUCCCAACUCCAAAAGCCAAAAUCUAGCUGAGAGUCCAUAUAGUGAUGGAGUAGAGCCAAUCAGUAGAACGCUGAGUUUCUUACUACAAAAUGAUGUUGCAAGUCAAAGAUAUGAGUUAUCUAAAAAGGAAUACGAGUCUACAAGCUUCAGAAUUCAGAACCUUGAACAAGAGCUCUUGUCCUUGAAGAAGAGCCUUCAAUUGCAGAGUAAUUCAAAGAUUUUGCCAACCAAACCACAACGUAUGAAACCAUAUGGCAUGGAAAGUAGAUCACUAAGCAAGAAGAGGAACCCACUUGGACAUGUUACCAGCUGUAUCAAUUCUAUGAAUUUUGCUUCACAAAGAAGGUAUGCUAAUAGGUUACUGAAGGUCUUCCGUCGGAUUACCUUGUUUGGAAGUAGAAAAUUGAAGAGAAAGUCAAGCACCUCUGGCCAAUUAGCCAAAUCAAUGUAACAUAAUAAUCG
rnacentral:misc_RNA from 1 species